AAAUCAGUGAGGGGUCAAAUAAUUAUUUCCUCCACUGUAUUAGGCAGGUAGGAGGUCAGUACAAAAUGGCACAUCUGCCCCAUCAGCCGCUCCUUACAGCUGGGUGCCAUGUAUAAUGCCAGGCAUGACAGGAGCGCAUUGGAGUAUAACAGUGUCAGUUCCCCAACCUGUGGCCCCCCAGCUGUUGCUACGGCUCCCUGCUUCCCUGUCAGAUCCUUUAGGGUCUGUUUGUAAAAUGGGAGAACUGGUCGAGGGUGUGAGUACUUAUAUAAGGCAGUGUAUCCUGAUGUGUGUAGCAGAGAGGGCCGGCACAUAUGAGCUCACAAUCUCUUUUUUCCUUCUCCCCAUAAAGUGAAAAUUGUCAGCGAUUCUGAGCGACUCUGGCGAGAAUUUUUGUGAUUUUUUUUUUUUGUGAGAUAUUCAGCGAGUUUCCAACUCACUUUUGACGCUUCUUAGGAAAUAACAUCUUCCAUAGACGUCUGCUGAUAUCUCUUUUUUAUACCCAACUGCUCUUUUAAGAGCAAGAAGACCGGGGCGCAAUGCCAUCCUGCGCCCCCUGGAGGAAGCGAGAGGCAGGAUCAAGACCCCUCUCUGAUAUUUAUAAGCCUCCUGAUGGUCGGCUGACCAAGGGUGUGCUCCUCGGACAGGGCGGGCGCUGCAGCCGCAGUGGCUGCACCUCCAUCGGAAGCCCCAGGAGUAUCUAAUUCUCAGAUACCUGUUACUCCACCAGUGGCGUCUCCUCUCCCAAUUACAGCUACACCACCAGCAGUGUAUGUAACACUCUAUACACAACCUCCACCCAUCAUCUCUAUCUCCCCUUCAGCCAUAGUUCCACCAGUGGCACUUUUUCUCCAGCCCAAUUUUAAUAUCUGCAGCUCCACCAGUUGGAUUCCUGCUUUUAGAGAGCACAAUUCCAGCAGCGGCACCUCACUUUGUAGCUCUCAUUCUCCUUUUCUUUCUUUGGCUCCACCACCAGCCCCUCUUUCUUUUUCUGCUGCUCCUCUACCAACAGACCACCAUACUAAUACAUCAUACAGUAUUUGCAGUUCCACCAACCUCAGCUCAAACAGUGCAUCCACCACCGUCAGUCUUAAGGUUCCCAUAUACUAUAAGAUCCGCUCGCUUGGCGAUGUCGCCAAUCGAGCGGAUCU